AUUAUCCUCCACAAGCGCUGGAGCUGCAGCAUAAGUUCUAUAUCAAGAGAGGAAGAGCCAGGGCCAAGCACCACUGGGCAGGAGCUGGGCCUCAGGCCAAGUCACUAUGACAGGGCCCAACAUGGAGGACCAAGGCCACCAGGCCCAGCAUUGAGAGAAAAACCUGGAGUCCACGGAGGAUCAGCAGAAGCUGCAGGGCAACCUCUGCUGCUUGUGGAAACUCCAGCUCAAGUUUCACCACGUCCACUACCUGAGAGAGAGCUGGUGCUAAAACACCUGCAAUGGCACCUCCAGACCAACAAGCCCUGCUGACCCCUCAGCCAGCACCACUUACUGAGACCAACCCAGAGUCUCCCUUCCUCUCCCCUGCCAUUUAUUUAUUCCUUAUUUUUAUU
rnacentral:lncRNA from 1 species